GAGGUUGUGGCUCAGUGGUAGAGAGCUCACUGAACGCGGGUGAGGCUCUGGGUUCGAUUCUCAGCACCACA
rnacentral:tRNA from 1 species